rnacentral:lncRNA from 1 species
AAAGCCCAAUCUUCUUAGCCUAAUUAAUCCUAACACCUUAACCUUUCUUCCAGAUAUUCUAGAGCUCUCAUCCAUUUUUUUUAGAUACACCAACGCAUAUAUUGAGGGAUAUACGGAGGGAGGCAGGUGAAAAACAAAAUCUGAAAUCAAAUUAUCAAGCUUCACCAAAGAAAUGGAAAAGUGAGAGAUUACAAUGAGACUUAUAUAGUGAUAAGCUAAAAUUUGCUUGAAAAUUUGGGGUUAAGACAAUACAAAUGUGUCAAGUGAAAUGAAGCUCAUUUUUAGAUCGCUAUUUCAUCCUCAAUGUUUUUUAGCCUUUAUUUGGCAAUUCGGCUAUUUUCUCUGCCUAGAAACUGAGGUGAGUGUUGGAAGUUAUGGAGUUGUUGUUCGUGGUUUUGGAGCACAGUUCUGGGAGUGUUAUUUCAUACCCUGCGUUUGUAGCUAUUUUCUUCAUUCUGCUCAGACUUUCUCUUCUCCUUGUUUUCUUUGUUUGCUAUGCGUUAAGCUUGAAAUUUGUGUUUGUUUGGUCGAUAUCUUCUUUUUAAUGAUCUUGAAUGGAAGAGGAACAGAAUACUUUGUUGGUAGUUAAAAUACUACUCUUUAGUUAUUCUUU